ACUGCAGCAGAAUGGUCACGGGGUGACUGACUGUGGUGCCCCGGGGACUGGAUCCGGGGGUUAACCUCUUUGCCAAGGCCCUGGGGAACAGGGGAACAGGGGACAAGGUCGUUGGCCAUGGCAAUCCAGGUGGGUACCGUGGGCAGUGGCAGGCCCCUGGUGCCCCCACCUCCUAGCCCCUUGCCACCUGAGUCCCUCUCAGAAUUGAGAGCAGGAUGCUCUGGGGAGAAAGGGCACUCACCUGGCUCCACUGGGCUCUGCAGAGGAAGACCUGGAAGGGAGGGAAGGGAGAGACCUCUGUGUGGAUGUGCUCCCCAGGGAGAGGGGCAGCGGCGACGCCUGGGUCACAGACAGAGGCGCGCUCGCUCUCCUCUCGCUCCUCUCGAGGCUGCCAAAGAGGCUUCUUCCAUGCCCCGGCAGGCAGCUCCUGCCGGCUCUGCAGCGCACUGCUGCUGCCCCCAGAGAGGCGAUGUUCCCAGCCAAGCGCAAGGAGAGGCAAGAGCGAAAUCAAAGCAGCGUGGAGGAGAGAGAGAGAGGCAGAGAAGGCGAGAAAGAACGAGAGAGCCAGACUGAAUCUGGCUCCACCAAUGGGAUCAGUGGCUGCCCAGCGUCAGGACAAGCUGCCCUCAGAAGAAGUCCCUCUAACACACCCCUACUUGGAAAUCUCUCACUUGAAUGCAGCCCCCAAACUUUAGGAGGCUUUGCUACCACCAAAGGAAAACUCCAGGGAUGCCACUGUGAAGAACACCCAAGGAAAUUUGAAUCAAGCAACCAACAGUGACAAAGAGUGUGCAGUGUGGAAAAGCAUGGGCUUUACAAUUAAACAGACACAAUUAAAAUUCUUGUUCUCUCACUUUCUAGCUGAGUGAUCUUGGAUGAGUUACUCAAUCUCUCAGAGCUUUGAUUUCUUCAUCUGUCAAGUGACAUUAUAAACACUGCCAUCACUGAGUGAGAAAUUAUGUAAAUCACUAAGCUGUGGGCCUGUACACCAGAAGGGCCCAGUCACCUAUC